AUUAUCUAGUUUUUCCUCACUAACUUCUAUAGUCACAAAUUAUAGUUUCAUAAGAGAUUGACGGGUCCACUUGAUUUUUGUUAAAAAUAUUCUAUUAUCAGCUUUCAAGUAUAGUGUUGAAGACAGCCAGCAUCAUUAGCACCUACAGUUCUAGUUGUUGGUCACGAUUGUAGAUAAUUCUGUCAACAAACACUUAGUUGAUCUACACACUGGUUAGUAAUUAAUAUAAUAUAGUUGAUUUAUCUUUAAAGUGGCAAUCGCACAACACACAAAUCAUAAAACGGACUUAAUUUAUAAC